AAUGAACGUUGGCGGCGUGGAUUAGGCAUGCAAGUCGAGCGAGAAACCAAUUAGCUUGCUAAGAGGUGGACAGCGGCGAAAGGGAGAGUAACGCGUGGUUACGUGCCCUCGGGACCGGGAUAGUGUCGGGAAACUGGCAGUAAUACCGGAUAACAUCUUCGGAUCAAAUGGUGUGAUUCCGCCCGAGGAUCGGACCGCGUACUAUUAGCUUGUUGGCGGGGUAAUGGCCCACCAAGGCUGCGAUGGUUACCGGGUGUGAGAGCAUGGCCCGGCUCACUGGGACUGAGACACUGCCCAGACAUCUACGGAUGGCUGCAGUCGAGAAUCUUCGGCAAUGGACGAAAGUCUGACCGAGCGACGCCGCGUGCGGGAUGAAGGCCCUCGGGUUGUAAACCGCUGUCAGUUGGGAGGAAAUCCAUGGGGGUUAUCCCCUGUGGUUGACCGAGCUUCAGAGGAAGGACGGGCUAAGUUCGUGCCAGCCGCCGCCGUAACAC
rnacentral:rRNA from 1 species